rnacentral:lncRNA from 1 species
UCGAAAUCAACAAGCCAAUUGGGAUCUAAUUGAUUAAAACGCUCUGUUUAACGACGUCAUAUCCACCGAUUAUUGUUAUUGGGGGGACGCAGUAAUUCAUGCAGCAAGGCCGAGAAUAAAGCAUGUCGUUAGAGGCAGAGAAGGGAAAUAUUAAACAACAGGUUCUUAGAAUUAAGCUCUACUUUGGAACCCGACCGGCCUGCUACCACUGAUAAGUUGGCUAUACUUGGAGACGCUAUCCGAAUUCUGAAUCAGCUUAAAUCUGAAUCACAGGAUUUCAAAGAAUUGGACGAACGGUUUUCAGUCAACCUACCUCACCGACCCAUACCAAAAGUUCGUUUGUUUUAGCUCCCUUAUAACCAAUCCACUGUUUUGGCGACAAUGCGAUGUGAAUUAACAAGCAAAAUGUUAUUAGAAUCAAGCUCUACUUUGGAACCUUGUCGGCCUGCCACCACAUAUAAAGAAAUGAAUCAACUUAAAGAAAUGAAUGAGAAACUAUCUGAAGAGAUUAAAACAUUGAAGAAAAGAAAAGAACAAGCUUGCGAAGAGAAACUUGUUUUGAAGGCGGGAAAAGCAAAAAUGGAGCAGCGGGUCGAAUCCAUGACCAACAAUCUUCCACCACCUGUAUUUAUGACACCACAUCCGACUGCAUUUCAGGCUGCAGCAAUCAAGAUGCCCUUUUUUUCCAGGAUAUGGCUACAUUCCAAUGUGUCAGCAUCUACCACAAUCUACGUGUGACAGGUCUCAUGAUCAUGAGCUCAGGCCACUUGCUUCUUACUGACCUAACCAAUGAGAACUAUUAGCUCAUUGUAGUUUGUAAAUAGAAUUGCUUAGUUGGAUUAUGUGUUUUCAUCACUUUGCACUUUUGCUAUUAUGCCUUUUAAAAACGAUUAGAGUUCUUUGUUGGAUACAAAGAAUAUCCUCCUUUGAU